rnacentral:rRNA from 1 species
AGUGAACGCUGGCGGUAGGCCUAACACAUGCAAGUCGAACGGCAGCACAGGAGAGCUUGCUCUCUGGGUGGCGAGUGGCGGACGGGUGAGGAAUACAUCGGAAUCUACUUUUUCGUGGGGGAUAACGUAGGGAAACUUACGCUAAUACCGCAUACGACCUACGGGUGAAAGCAGGGGACCUUCGGGCCUUGCGCGAUUGAAUGAGCCGAUGUCGGAUUAGCUAGUUGGCGGGGUAAGGGCCCACCAAGGCGACGAUCCGUAGCUGGUCUGAGGGGAUGAUCAGCCAAACUGGAACUGAGACACGGUCCAGACUCCUACGGGAGGCAGCAGUGGGGAAUAUUGGACAAUGGGCGCAAGCCUGAUCCAGCCAUACCGCGUGGGUGAAGAAGGCCUUCGGGUUGUAAAGCCCUUUUGUUGGGAAAGAAAUCCAGCUGGCUAAUACCCGGUUGGGAUGACGGUACCCAAAGAAUAAGCACCGGCUAACUUCGCGCCAGCAGCCGCCGCCG